GCCAGGCAUGGUAGUGCAUGCCUGUAAUCCCAGCUACUUGGGAGGCUGAGGCAGAAGAAUUGCUUGAACCUGGGAGGCAGAGGUUGCAGUGAGCCGAGAUCACGCCACUGCACUCCAGCCUGGGCAACAGAGCAAGACUCUGUCUCGG
rnacentral:SRP_RNA from 1 species